AACAGCUCAAAUUUGAAAUCUGGCCCCUCUGGGGGUCCGAGUUGUAAUUUGUAGAGGAUGCUUCGGGCAAGGCUGCGGUCUAAUUCGCUUGGAACAGCGAGUCAUAGAGGGUGAGAGUCCCGUCUGGGACCGUGCGCCGCGUCCAUGUGAAGCUCCUUCGACGAGUCGAGUUGUUUGGGAAUGCAGCUCUAAAUGGGUGGUAAAUUUCAUCUAAAGCUAAAUAUUGGCCAGAGACCGAUAGCGCACAAGUAGAGUGAUCGAAAGAUGAAAAGCACUUUGAAAAGAGAGUUAAACAGUAUGUGAAAUUGUUGAAAGGGAAGCGCUUGCAACCAGACUUGCGUGGGACGGUUCCCCCCAUCUUCUGAUGGGGCUACUCCGUCCUCUCCAGGCCAGCAUCGGUUCGGGUGGUCGGUCAAAGACCCCGGGAAUGUAUCUACCUCCGGGUCGACUUAUAGCCCGGGGUGUAAUGCGGCCCACCCGGACCGAGGAACGCGCUUCGGCCCGGAUGCUGGCGUAAUGGUUGCAAGCGGCCCGUCUUGAAACACGGACCAAGGAGUCUAACAUCUAUGCGAGUGUUUGGGUGUCAAACCCCUACGCGUAAUGAAAGUGAACGGAGGUAAGAACCCCGCAAGGGGCGCAUUAUCGACCGAUCCUGAUGUCUUCGGAUGGAUUUGAGUAAGAGCAUAGCUGUUGGGACCCGAAAGGUACGCUUCUUAUGUCCUUCCCCUUUUGUCGUACCUAAGCUAACCUAUUUUUACAGAUGGUGAACUAUGCCUGAAUAGGGUGAAGCCAGAGGAAACUCUGGUGGAGGCUCGCAGCGGUUCUGACGUGCAAAUCGAUCGUCAAAUUUGGGCAUAGGGGCGAAAGUAAGUCCAGCUCCUUGCUCACUAGCAUUGUUAAAACAGACACUAAUCUUCUCUCUUUUUAGGACCAAUCGAACCAUCCUUAUGGCAUCUUGUAAGGAAACAAAAUUUAAGCGUGGCCAGGUGGUUAAUCUCCUAACCUCGCGGUUGGGUCAGUCUGAUACUUGGUAUUGGGCGACGUCGUCAGUCUUCGGGGAUGUCUUUACGGCUAUCCGAAGCCGUCCUCUUGUUGGGACGGUUCACAGACUAGACAGUGACGGCCGGAGCCUCUUAACCGGGGACGGUGAUUAUAUAGUCGAGUAAAGCUAUGGGAUCUUGCGAGUAUUUCAACUAGAGCACUCGGUGGACCGUACGUUAUUAUCAUGUACGCCUUUGGGGGCUUUUAGCUUCCUGAGGUUGGUCUUGAGAGAAUUCCGUAGCUUUUGAACGCUGGUAGCUGGUUCCUGUCGAAGUUUCCCUCAGGAUAGCAGUAACGUUUUCAGUUUUAUGAGGUAAAGCGAAUGAUUAGAGGCCUUGGGGUUCAAGCAACCUUAACCUAUUCUCAAACUUUAAAUAUGUAAGAAGUCCUUGUUACUUUGUUGAAC
rnacentral:rRNA from 1 species